rfam:Colletotrichum gloeosporioides Nara gc5 unplaced genomic scaffold scaffold284, whole genome shotgun sequence.
GCGGACAUAGCUCAGUUGGGAGAGCGUCAGACUGAAGUGGGUUUCGAUCCUGUAAACUUCAAUCAUCUUAUCUGAAGGUCGUGUGUUCAAUCCACACUGGCCGCA